UACGUAGGGUGCGAGCGUUAAUCGGAAUUACUGGGCGUAAAGCGUGCGCAGGCGGUUCGCUGUGUCCGAUGUGAAAGCCCCGGGCUUAACCUGGGAAUGGCAUUGGAAACUGGCGGGCUUGAGUGCGGCAGAGGGGGGUGGAAUUCCGCGUGUAGCAGUGAAAUGCGUAGAGAUGCGGAGGAACACCGAUGGCGAAGGCAGCCCCCUGGGUUAACACUGACGCUCAUGCACGAAAGCGUGGGGAGCAAACAGG
rnacentral:rRNA from 1 species